GCAGAAGUGGCGGAAUUGGCAGACGCGCACGGUUCAGGUCCGUGUGGUAGCAAUACCUUGAGGGUUCAAGUCCCUUCUUCUGCACGA
rnacentral:tRNA from 2 species